GACGAACGCUGGCGGCGUGCUUAACACAUGCAAGUCGAGCGGUAAGGCCCUUCGGGGUACACGAGCGGCGGACGGGUGAGUAACACGUGGGUGACCUGCCUCUAGCUCUGGGAUAAGCCUGGGAAACUGGGUCUAAUACCGGAUAUGACUCCACGGCGCAUGUUGUGGGGUGGAAAGCCUUGUGUGGCUAGAGAUGGGCCCGCGGCCUAUCAGCUUGUUGGUGGGGUGAUGGCCUACCAAGGCGACGACGGGUAGCCGGCCUGAGAGGCGACCGGCCACACUGGGACUGAGACACGGCCCAGACUCCUACGGGAGGCAGCAGUGGGGAAUCUUGCGCAAUGGGCGAAAGCCUGACGCAGCGACGCCGCGUGAGGGAUGACGGCCU
rnacentral:rRNA from 1 species